AUUGAACGCUGGCGGCAGGCCUAACACAUGCAAGUCGAGCGAGCGGCGGACGGGUGAGUAAUGCCUGGGAAUAUGCCUUAGUGUGGGGGAUAACUAUUGGAAACGAUAGUUAAUACCGCAUACGCUACGAUUAGCCAAGGUGGGAUUAGCUAGUUGGUGAGGUAAGAGCCCACCAAGGCGACGUGUUCUAGCGGGGCUGAGAGGAGGAUCAGCCACACUGGAACUGAGACACGGUCCAGACGCCUACGGGAGGCAGCAGUGGGGAAUAUUGCACAAUGGGCGAAAGCCUGAUGCAGCCAUGCCGCGUGUAUGAAGAAGGCCUUCGGGUUGUAAAGUACUUUCAGUAGGGAGGCGUUACCUACAGAAGAAGCACCGGCUAACUCCGUGCCAGCAGCCGCGGUAAUAC
rnacentral:rRNA from 1 species